AGUAGGUGUUAGAGGAGGUUCUUGCCGCGGGUUACACUGCACACAGAGGUGUUAGAGGUGGUUCUUGCGGUGCGUUACACUGCAUACAGUAGGUGUUAGAGGGGGUUCUUGCUGCGGGUUACACGGCACACAGUAGGUGUUAGAGGAGGUUCUUGCCGCGGGUUACACUGCACACAGAGGUGUUAGAGGUGGUUCUUGCGGUGCGUUACACUGCAUACAGUAGGUGUUAGAGGGGGUUCUUGCUGCGGGUUACACGGCACACAGUAGGUGUUAGAGGAGGUUCUUGCCGCGGGUUACACUGCACACAGAGGUGUUAGAGGUGGUUCUUGCGGUGCGUUACACUGCAUACAGUAGGUGUUAGAGGGGGUUCUUGCUGCGGGUUACACGGCACACAGUAGGUGUUAGAGGAGGUUCUUGCCGCGGGUUACACUGCACACAGAGGUGUUAGAGGUGGUUCUUGCGGUGCGUUACACUGCAUACAGUAGGUGUUAGAGGGGGUUCUUGCUGCGGGUUACACGGCACACAGUAGGUGUUAGAGGAGGUUCUUGCCGCGGGUUACACUGCACACAGAGGUGUUAGAGGUGGUUCUUGCGGUGCGUUACACUGCAUACAGUAGGUGUUAGAGGGGGUUCUUGCUGCGGGUUACACGGCACACAGUAGGUGUUAGAGGAGGUUCUUGCCGCGGGUUACACUGCACACAGAGGUGUUAGAGGUGGUUCUUGCGGUGCGUUACACUGCAUACAGUAGGUGUUAGAGGGGGUUCUUGCUGCGGGUUACACGGCACACAGUAGGUGUUAGAGGAGGUUCUUGCCGCGGGUUACACUGCACACAGAGGUGUUAGAGGUGGUUCUUGCGGUGCGUUACACUGCAUACAGUAGGUGUUAGAGGGGGUUCUUGCUGCGGGUUACACGGCACACAGUAGGUGUUAGAGGAGGUUCUUGCCGCGGGUUACACUGCACACAGAGGUGUUAGAGGUGGUUCUUGCGGUGCGUUACACUGCAUACAGUAGGUGUUAGAGGGGGUUCUUGCUGCGGGUUACACGGCACACAGUAGGUGUUAGAGGAGGUUCUUGCCGCGGGUUACACUGCACACAGAGGUGUUAGAGGUGGUUCUUGCGGUGCGUUACACUGCAUACAGUAGGUGUUAGAGGGGGUUCUUGCUGCGGGUUACACGGCACACAGUAGGUGUUAGAGGAGGUUCUUGCCGCGGGUUACACUGCACACAGAGGUGUUAGAGGUGGUUCUUGCGGUGCGUUACACUGCAUACAGUAGGUGUUAGAGGGGGUUCUUGCUGCGGGUUACACGGCACACAGUAGGUGUUAGAGGAGGUUCUUGCCGCGGGUUACACUGCACACAGAGGUGUUAGAGGUGGUUCUUGCGGUGCGUUACACUGCAUACAGUAGGUGUUAGAGGGGGUUCUUGCUGCGGGUUACACGGCACACAGUAGGUGUUAGAGGAGGUUCUUGCCGCGGGUUACACUGCACACAGAGGUGUUAGAGGUGGUUCUUGCGGUGCGUUACACUGCAUACAGUAGGUGUUAGAGGGGGUUCUUGCUGCGGGUUACACGGCACACAGUAGGUGUUAGAGGAGGUUCUUGCCGCGGGUUACACUGCACACAGAGGUGUUAGAGGUGGUUCUUGCGGUGCGUUACACUGCAUACAGUAGGUGUUAGAGGGGGUUCUUGCUGCGGGUUACACGGCACACAGUAGGUGUUAGAGGAGGUUCUUGCCGCGGGUUACACUGCACACAGAGGUGUUAGAGGUGGUUCUUGCGGUGCGUUACACUGCAUACAGUAGGUGUUAGAGGGGGUUCUUGCUGCGGGUUACACGGCACACAGUAGGUGUUAGAGGAGGUUCUUGCCGCGGGUUACACUGCACACAGAGGUGUUAGAGGUGGUUCUUGCGGUGCGUUACACUGCAUACAGUAGGUGUUAGAGGGGGUUCUUGCUGCGGGUUACACGGCACACAGUAGGUGUUAGAGGAGGUUCUUGCCGCGGGUUACACUGCACACAGAGGUGUUAGAGGUGGUUCUUGCGGUGCGUUACACUGCAUACAGUAGGUGUUAGAGGGGGUUCUUGCUGCGGGUUACACGGCACACAGUAGGUGUUAGAGGAGGUUCUUGCCGCGGGUUACACUGCACACAGAGGUGUUAGAGGUGGUUCUUGCGGUGCGUUACACUGCAUACAGUAGGUGUUAGAGGGGGUUCUUGCUGCGGGUUACACGGCACACAGUAGGUGUUAGAGGAGGUUCUUGCCGCGGGUUACACUGCACACAGAGGUGUUAGAGGUGGUUCUUGCGGUGCGUUACACUGCAUACAGUAGGUGUUAGAGGGGGUUCUUGCUGCGGGUUACACGGCACACAGUAGGUGUUAGAGGAGGUUCUUGCCGCGGGUUACACUGCACACAGAGGUGUUAGAGGUGGUUCUUGCGGUGCGUUACACUGCAUACAGUAGGUGUUAGAGGGGGUUCUUGCUGCGGGUUACACGGCACACAGUAGGUGUUAGAGGAGGUUCUUGCCGCGGGUUACACUGCACACAGAGGUGUUAGAGGUGGUUCUUGCGGUGCGUUACACUGCAUACAGUAGGUGUUAGAGGGGGUUCUUGCUGCGGGUUACACGGCACACAGUAGGUGUUAGAGGAGGUUCUUGCCGCGGGUUACACUGCACACAGAGGUGUUAGAGGUGGUUCUUGCGGUGCGUUACACUGCAUACAGUAGGUGUUAGAGGGGGUUCUUGCUGCGGGUUACACGGCACACAGUAGGUGUUAGAGGAGGUUCUUGCCGCGGGUUACACUGCACACAGAGGUGUUAGAGGUGGUUCUUGCGGUGCGUUACACUGCAUACAGUAGGUGUUAGAGGGGGUUCUUGCUGCGGGUUACACGGCACACAGUAGGUGUUAGAGGAGGUUCUUGCCGCGGGUUACACUGCACACAGAGGUGUUAGAGGUGGUUCUUGCGGUGCGUUACACUGCAUACAGUAGGUGUUAGAGGGGGUUCUUGCUGCGGGUUACACGGCACACAGUAGGUGUUAGAGGAGGUUCUUGCCGCGGGUUACACUGCACACAGAGGUGUUAGAGGUGGUUCUUGCCAGGCGUUACACUGCACACAGUAGGUGUUAGAGGUGGUUCUUGCCGCGGGUUACACUGCACACAGUAGGUGUUAGAGGUGGUUCUUGCUGCAGGUUACACUGCACACAGUAGGUGUUUGUACGGCUCUUGCCGUGCAUUACACUGUGUGCAGUAGGUGUUAGAGGCGAGUCUCUGUGGGUACUUUGAAGGGUAAGGGGUCGUGCUCUAGUUCAAGCCAGAUGCUGCCCCUCCACUGUCUGCGUGGUGACUUAUGGGGUGAUGCUGUUACACAGAAGGCUGUCUCUUGUGGCUUAUUCUCCAGCCCCCGACAGGUCGUCAUGCCCUGCACAUCAGUGCAGACACCCACCCGGACAUGCGCAUGGCUGACCUGCUCUCCACCGCGUAGUGCAGUGCUGUGGUCAGCAGACCAGGUCCGUGCGGGGGAGACUGCAUGGAGCUCUGCGUGCGCGGCGGGGCCUCGGCUCCCUGGGAUGGCAGCUGCAGCCUCGCAUGCUCGUGACGCGUGGUUGUCUGUCAGCCUCCUGGUCCCCGAGGCUGCUGCUUCUUUCCGGAGCCGGCACCCACACCCCUCCCUUUCCCCUCAGCAGGCUGGAGCAUUGACAGCAGCUGACCAACGGGCCUGCCUUGCGUGGGCUCUGUGUGUGGCUCGUCUGCCAGCGUGUGCGUGUGCGCGUGCGCAUGGACAAGGACUGGGGCUGGCCAGCCCAUCCUUGGACUGUUGUUGAGAACUCACGUUAGGCCCUGGUAUGUGGUCAGUUUUUAGGAAUGUUCCAUGGAUGGUGGGCAAGGAUCUGAGCCCUGCGUGCCCCCAAGAGGAAGCCUGGCGAGCCGAGCCCCUCUCCUGCCCUAGAGGUUCUGCCCGCGCUCGCCUCCUCGGCUGGGUGGCCUGUUUGAGCAGCCGCAUUCCUGGAGCUGCACCAGCUUUGUCGUUGGGGUAGCUUGUGCCUUCCUGACGUUCAGAACCCACAUCCUUUUGUUUUCAAUGUGUUGGGUAUAAAGCACGUGUCGGGGGCUUUAAACAUCUUGUCUGACAGUGUUUGUCUCCUUUUCGUUUCGUAAGGUUCUUCUCUCUGAGUUUAUUUCUGCCGUCUCUGUAUUCUGCCUGUCCUGUCAUUUGGGACAGGUUGCUUUUUUCCUCCUUUCUUAACUUGUUUUGGAUUGUUUCUCUUUUCUUCUCUCUUUUUUUCUCCUCUGCUAGAUUGGGAUUCAUUCCUCGGCUUCCAUAGGGGCCGCCACCCCACAUGUUUUAACACGCAGAAUUCAUGUAUCAGAAUCUAAACUCAACUGUUAUUUUUACUUUUCUC